CCGAGUGGCAGCAUUAUUUUAGUUCUGUGGCCGCUGCUCGUCCUGUCCCCUCCACUCCCAUUGCUGUUCUGCCUGGUUUAGGACUUGCUUUGGAUACUUUUGGAGUUGCACCCCCUGUCCUGUUGGUUUCAACGAUUGAAAGAUUUUCAGUUUUGCGUGUGGCGGGGAGCCUGGAGUCUGAACUUAUCAGCCAGCCAGUCAGGAUGUCUGCAUCGUUCCACGUGAAACAGCACCACCACCACCACAGUGACAAGAAGCAGCAGCAUGAGAGCAUCAGCCAUCACAGCUCUCGCUCCUCUUUUAGUCAGCUGUCAUAUGCUGCCCACAAGAGAAUCCAGCACAGCACCAUAGGAGUGCAGCAGAGUUUUGUCGAAUCAGAGAAGAGGUCGGAGUUCAUACCUAGCCAGCUGCUGCCGCCGAGAGUCAAGAAGUACCUGGCCAUGGACCCUGACACCAACGAUGUCAUUGGAUACAUAGUUCCUGUCUUCAGGACCAGCCAUGAGUUUGCCCGGGGCCUAGUUGAGGUCCAGGAAGAAGUGAAGGAGGAGGGGGUGGGGCAUGUUGCCAUGAGGAACCUGUUCUCCCUGGAGACCAGCUCCAUGGAGACGAUUACCGUGGAGAAGAAGAGCAGGAAGAGGCACAUUAGAGAGUCAGCUGACCGCCUGGAGCUCAGCAAGAAGGUUGAGGAGAGAGCAGAGUUCCGUAAGAAGCAGAACAGUGACAACCUGACCCAUCCUCCUGAGUUCAUAGUUCGUCCCCGAGGACAGACAGUCUGGGAGGGCAAGACUGUCAAGCUGCACUGCACCGUGUCUGGAUGGCCUAAACCACGUAUUGCAUGGUAUAAGAACAAUGUGGUGAUAGAUGAGAAGGCCCAUCCUGACAAGUACACAGCAGAGAGUAAUUACAACAUGCACUCUCUGGAAAUCAAGAGCUGUGACUUCCUGGACACGGCUCAGUACCGUGUGUCUGCUCUCAACAUAAAGGGAGAGAGCUCCUCCGUGGCCACCGUGGUUAUCAAGAGGUUCCAGGAGGGACAGAAAGUGGGAACUCUUGAUGCUAAACCACAUGGGUUCUGCUCGGAGCACGGCGUGACCUUUGAGACAGCCAUCAUAGACUCGUUUGAGGUGGCAUUCGGCCGGGAGGGAGAGACUCUAAGUCUGGGCUGCACCGUCAUCGUCUAUCCCACCGUUAAACGCUACCAGCCUGAUGUCCUCUGGUACAGAGAUGGCAAGGCCCUAGCAGAGUCCAAGUGGGUCCACACCCACUGGAGUGGAGAGAAAGCCACCCUGACACUGGUCCAUCUUAACAAGGAGGAUGAAGGACUCUACACCCUGAGAGUUAACACCAAGUCUGGCUUCCAGUCCUACUCCGCUUACGUCUUCGUCAGAGAUGAAGAGGUGGAGUUGGAAGGUGUUCCCGUUGCGCCCCUGGACGUAUGUUGCCAUGACGCCAACAAGGACUACGUUGUGGUGACAUGGAAACAGCCGGCGGUGGAGGGAAGCAGCUCCAUCUUGGGGUACUUCAUUGAUAGGUGUGAGGUGGGCCACCACCACUGGGCUCAGUGUAACGACACCCCUGUGAAGUACGCCCGUUUCCCGGUAACGGGGCUGAUUGAGGGGAGGAGCUAUACCUUCCGAGUCAGAGCCAUCAACCGGGCUGGGGUCAGCCGACCUUCUAGAGCCUCUGAUCCCGUUAUCGCCAUAGACCCCCACGACAGGGCUCGCCAUCGAGCUGGUCCCUCUGCUCCCUUCACCGGAAUGAUCAAGUUCACUGAGGAAGACGCUACAGUGGGCGUGGUACCAGGUGAGCCCACCGACCUGGUGGUUACCGAGGCAACGAAGAACUACGUGGUUCUGGCCUGGUCUCCGCCCGCUCAAAGAGGUCAUGAAGGGGUUGUGUACCUUGUAGAGAAGUGUGUUGCUGGUAGUGAGUGCUGGCAGAGGGCCAACACAGGGAUGCCCGUCAAGUCUCCUCGCUUCGCGCUGUUUGAUCUGGCAGAGGGGAAGAGCUACAGCUUCAGAGUCCGCUGCUGUAACUCUGCUGGGAUGUCUGAGGCCUCCUCUGCUACUGGAGAUAUCACUGUAGGAGACAUGCUGGACCUGCCUGCGGCCCCCGGCCCAGCCGUAGCCACUAGGAACACAGAUACAUCAGUCGUUGUUUCCUGGGGGGCGUCUAAGGAUGUAAAACACCUGGUGGGAUAUUACAUCAACUAUACUGUGGCGGGCAGUGAUGUCUGGACACCCGCAAACAACAAGCCUGUUAAAGGAACCAGGUUUGUGUGCCACGGUCUGAACACAGGAGAGUCGUGUGUGUUCCGUGUGAAGGCGGUGAACGCAGCAGGGUACAGUCACAGCUCUUUGGAGUCGGAGGCCGUGGUCGUCAAGGCUGGCAUCGCCAUCCCUGAUGUCCCUAGUGGAGUCCACCUGAUGGAGGCAGCUCGUGACUACAUGGUGUUAGCCUGGAGGGAGCCGGCGGUGACCGGGGGAGCUGACAUCAGAGGAUACUUUGUGGACUACAGGACAGUAAAGGGUGGAGUUGGAGGACCAGUGGCAUGAACUCAACCCCAAGGCUGUCACCUGUACUUCCUAUAAGGCAGAGAACCUGAAGGAGAACUUGUUCUACCAGUUCCAAGUGCGAGCCAUCAACAUGGCCGGGGUCAGCGAGGCCUCUCUGCCCAGCGCAGCUCUAGAGUGUAAAGAAUGGACCAUUGCUAAACCAGGUGCUCCUCAUGAUCUCCAUGUGUUAGAGGUGCGUGACAGUUCCCUGGUGUUGCUGUGGGAACCUCCUACCUUCGAUGGCCGUACUCCUGUCAACGGCUUCUAUGUGGACAUCAAGGAGGCCGUGGCAGGGGAGGACUGGAAGGGAGUACAUGAGAAGGCCACCAAGCUGAAGUACAUGAAGGUCAAUGGUCUGAUUGCAGGCAGGUCCUAUGUGUUCAGGGUGCGUGCUCAGAACCUGGCUGGAGUGGGAAAGACUUCUGCUGUGUUAGGACCUGUUCUGGCUCUAACCAUGCCUGGUACACAUGAGAUAAUACUGGAUGUGGAUGAUGAUGGUGUGAUCUCCAUGAUCUUUGAGUGUUCUGAGAUGGCCGAGGGGUCAGAGUUCAUCUGGUCUAAGAACUACAAGACUCUGACAGACACCUCCAGACUCACCAUCGUCACAGAGGGGGGCAAGUCCAGAGCAAUCUUUAAUGCUCCCAGUCUGGAGGACCUUGGUAUCUUCUCCUGUGAGGUUACCAACACUGUUGGAGUCUCAGCCAGCUACACUCUAACGGAGGCUGGUCUGAAGCGUCUCCUGGACAUCAGCCACGAGCACAAGUUCCCCAUCAUUCCCUUCAAGACUCAGAUGGCCAUGGAGCUCCUGGAGAAGGGUCGUGUGAGGUUCUGGACCCAGGUUGAGAAGUUCACCACUGGCUGCCAUGUGGACUAUGUCUUUAACGAUGCGAUCGUAGAGAACGGAGAGAAAUACCAAAUGAACUUUGACAAGAACUCAGGCAUCAUUGAGAUGUUCAUGGACUCUCUCGCGGUCACAGACGAGGGAACAUUCACCUUUAACCUCGUGGACGGGAAGGCCAAGGGGUCCACCAGCCUGGUGCUGAUUGGAGAAGAGUUCAGAGAGCUCCAGAAAAAGUCUGAGUUUGAACAUGCUGAAUGGAUCAGAAGACAAGGUCCUCACUUCGUGGACUAUCUUGGUUUCCAGGUCACCCCAGAAUGCAACGUGCUGCUGAAGGCCACGAUAGGAAACAUCAGGCCAGAGACAGAGAUCAGAUGGUACAAAGACGGACUGGAGAUUGAAGAGGAUGAUGCUGAUUACAAGAAGAUCGAGAUGAAGGACGAGGUGUUGAUCUUCAACAUCGGAAAGUUGUCCAAAAAGGAUGCAGGUGUGUACGAGGUGAAGCUAAAGGAUGCCAGAGGAAAAGACAAGAGCAUGUUCAACCUGACUGAAGCAGGUUACCAAACUGUGCUAAACGAACUGUUCAGGGUGAUUGCCAACUCAUCAACUGAGAUCAGUGUGAAGAGUACAGAACAUGGUAUCGUCCUCUACUCCUUGAUCACCUAUCACAUGGAGGACCUCCAAGUUGGCUGGCUGCACAAGGAAGCAAAGAUCGCCCACUCUGACAGAGUUCAGUGUGGAGUGACCGGGGAGCAGCUGUGGCUCAAGGUGAAUGAGCCCACAGAGAAAGAUAAGGGCAAAUACACAAUAAAUAUCUGUGACGGCAAGGACGGGGUUAAGAGGUUCUGUGACCUGUCUGGACAAGCCUGGGAGGAAGCCUUCGUAGAGUUCCAGAGGCUGAAGGCUGCUGCCAUUGCAGAGAGAAACCGUGCCCGGGUUGUGGGAGGUCUGCCAGAUGUGGUCACUAUCCAGGAGGGCAAGUCUCUGAACCUGACAGGCAACGUGUGGGGUGACCCGGCACCCGAGGUCACCUGGAUGAAGAACGACAGAGAGCUGGUGUCUGACGAACGCUACGCCCUCAAGUUUGAACAUGGCAAGUUCGCCAGCAUCACCAUCGCGGCGGUAACCACGACCGACUCAGGGAAGUACGCACUCCUGGUGAAGAACAAGUAUGGAACUGAGGCAGGAGAGUUCACUGUGUCCGUCUACAUCCCAGAGGAAGAGAAGAAGAAAGAGUAGAUGGGUUGGAGGGAUGGAGUUGGAAUGGGAGGAAUAGUUAUAAUAGGCUGAAGGAUGACAGGGCGAUCUCCAAAGCUCUUUACCCCAGUGCAUGAUGGUAAACAGAGAACAGGAGAUAAAGAUUUGUUGCGGAGAGGUCUUGGUGUGUAUUCUUCCAGUGCACCAUGUCUAUACUGAUGUGUUGAAUCUAAAUGAUGAACCUGGAAAGAAUCAUGGAUUGCUCUCCAUCUGUCUCUGUCAGCACUGGGUUAAACAGCUGGGAGUUUCACCCUUCAGAAGGAUAAUAGUGUCAUACUCUACUGUUGUUGUUGCUUGGUUUGUCGUCUGUGUUUGUAGAUGUAAGGAUGUUUGGUCCAACCAGGAGAUGGUUGACUUCUCUGUCUGCUGCUUUCAGCUGUUACUUUCUUACCUGCUACAACAUUACUGUGGGUUAAACUUUAGAAAUACAUUGUACUAAAAUUUGAACUCUGACUGGAACUUGCCAAAAUGUAGAAGUGUUAGACAACCACAACAUAUUACAGCAGAGGUCAGAGGUUAGAGAUCAGAGGAGACUGGAGGGUUGAGGAAGUAAAGGCCCAGCAGGCAGUAUGUGUAGGCAUCCCAAAUGGCCCCCUAUACCCCAAGGGCCCUGGUCAAGUAGUGCACUGUAUAGGGGACGCCUUCUCAUUGUGUUUCUGUAUAGCCCUGUGUCUUUAGUGUGUUUAUGUGAGCCGAGCCUGAAACUGGUUCUGUCUGUCUGACACACAGCAUCAGGCCUGGACACAUAACACACUGACGCGUGCGCACACACACACACACACACACACACACACACACACACACACACACACACACACACACACACACACACACACACACACACACACACACACACACACACACACACACACACACACACACACACAAAAGCUUACUUCUGGGGGCAUUUACUCCCAGUUUGUCCAUAGAAUCAGAUUUGUAUAGGCUGACAUGACACUACAUUGUGUUCUGACAUGACACUAUACAAUAUGCAUUGUGUUCUGACAUGACACUGAAGGAAGGCAAAGUAGGAAGCUAAAGGUGACAGAAUGAUGUCAAAGAUCGCUGUGAGAGCUACCUUAUAAAAGGUGUUUUGUGUUCAUUGAAAAUAAUAACCUACUGUCCUCCUCAUGACCCUUGUCCCUGUGUUAAUAAAGGAUCUUACUCACUGUC